CCUACGGGCGGCAGCAGUGGGGAAUAUUGGACAAUGGGCGAAAGCCUGAUCCAGCCAUGCCGCGUGUGUGAAGAAGGCCUUCGGGUUGUAAAGCACUUUCAGUGGGGAAGAAAGCCUUGGGGCUAAUACCCUCGAGGAAGGACAUCACCCACAGAAGAAGCACCGGCUAACUCCGUGCCAGCAGCCGCGGUAAUACGGAGGGUGCGGGCGUUAAUCGGAAUUACUGGGCGUAAAGCGCGCGUAGGCGGUCUGAUAAGCCGGUUGUGAAAGCCCCGGGCUCAACCUGGGAACGGCAUCCGGAACUGUCAGGCUAGAGUGCAGGAGAGGAAGGUAGAAUUCCCGGUGUAGCGGUGAAAUGCGUAGAGAUCGGGAGGAAUACCAGUGGCGAAGGCGGCCUUCUGGACUGACACUGACGCUGAGGUGCGAAAGCGUGGGUAGCAAACAGGAUUAGAUACCCGUGUAGUC
rnacentral:rRNA from 1 species